rnacentral:rRNA from 1 species
GAUGAACGCUGGCGGCGUGCCUAAUACAUGCAAGUCGAGCGAACAGACGAGGAGCUUGCUCCUCUGACGUUAGCGGCGGACGGGUGAGUAACACGUGGAUAACCUACCUAUAAGACUGGGAUAACUUCGGGAAACCGGAGCUAAUACCGGAUAAUAUAUUGAACCGCAUGGUUCAAUAGUGAAAGACGGUUUUGCUGUCACUUAUAGAUGGAUCCGCGCCGCAUUAGCUAGUUGGUAAGGUAACGGCUUACCAAGGCGACGAUGCGUAGCCGACCUGAGAGGGGGAUCGGCAACACGGGAAUGGAAAAAGGGUCAAAACUCCUAGGGGAGGCAGCAGUAGGAAAUCUGCAGAAAGGGGCGAAAGCCUAACGGAGCAAGGCGGGGGGAGUGAUAAAGGUCUUCGGAUGGAAAAAAUCUGUAAUUAGGAAAAAACAAAGGAGUAAGUAACUAUGAACGUCUGAAGGGUACAAAAGAAGAAAGCAACGGCAAACUACGU